UACGUAGGUGGCUAGCGUUGUCCGGAUUUACUGGGCGUAAAGAGCGCGCAGGCGGUCGUUUCAAGUCGAGUGUGAAAGCCCCCCGGCUCAACUGGGGAGGGUCACUCGAUACUGAUCGACUUUGAAGGCGGGAGAGGGAAGCGGAAUUCCCGGUGUAGUGGUGAAAUGCGUAGAUAUCGGGAGGAACACCAGUGGCGAAGGCGGCUUUCUGGCCCGUUCGU
rnacentral:rRNA from 1 species